UUGGGGUCCUGAUCAAGACCAGAAGAAGAAUCCCAGCACCCCUCCACCCGCAUCUUACCCCCUCCUCUCCAGCUUUAGCAUAAUUGCAUUCUCCAAAUGGUGUGUGGCAGCAGGAUAAGCUGAAAGGUACUCAGCCUCCUUUGCAAACUGCUCCAGACUGCAGGUGAAAGUCACUAGGAAGACGCCGAGUCACCCCACUGCAGACAGGCAGGUCUGCCCACGCCCUACCGAGGUCCCCAGUCUCGCGGAACACGCCGAAUCAGCCCGCUGCAGACAGGCAGGUCUGUGCACGCCCUACCGAGGUCCUGAGUCAAGCGGAAAACGCCGAAUCGGCCCGCUGCAGCUGCAGACAGGCAGGUCUGCCCACACCCUACCGAGGUCCCCAGUCUCGCGGAACACAUGCCGAAUCAGCCCGCUGCAGACAGGCAAGUCUGUGCAAGCCCUACCGAGGUCCUGAGUCACGAGGAAGACACCGAAUCACCCCACUGCAGACAGACAGCCACCUGAUUCCACAUUGCCAAGGCGCAGAGGACACCAGACCACCAGACCAAGGAACUUGGAACAAAGGUCUGGUGGUGUCUCUUAUAAAUACGUGAGUUGUACAUUGGGGUGCAAAGCUCAGCUCUGCAUUUGCAAUCUGGGAGAACUUGAGCAAGUUCCUUAGUCAUCUGCUGUCUUCAUUUACUAAUCUGUAAAGUGAGAUGUCCUGAAAUUUAAAUAAGGAAAUAUAUGUAGAGUUGGUGGCAAAGACAAUGUCCUUAACAAAUGGU
rnacentral:lncRNA from 1 species